rnacentral:rRNA from 1 species
GGAGUGAACGCUGGCGGCAGGCCUAACACAUGCAAGUCGAACGGCAGCACAGGAGAGCUUGCUCUCUGGGUGGCGAGUGGCGGACGGGUGAGGAAUACGUCGGAAUCUGCCUAUUUGUGGGGGAUAACGUAGGGAAACUUACGCUAAUACCGCAUACGACCUACGGGUGAAAGCGGAGGACCUUCGGGCUUCGCGCAGAUAGAUGAGCCGACGUCGGAUUAGCUAGUUGCGGGUAAAGCCACCAAGGCGACGAUCCGUAGCUGGUCUGAGAGGAUGAUCAGCCACACUGGAACUGAGACACGGUCCAGACUCCUACGGGAGCAGCAGUGGGAAUAUUGGACAAUGGGCGCAAGCCUGAUCCAGCCCAUGCCGCGUGUGUGAAGAAGGCCUUCGGUUGUAAAGCUACUUUUGUACCGGAAAGAAAGCGACUAGGUUAAUACCCGUGUGUCAGUGACGGUACCGAAGAAUAAGCACCGGUCUAACUUCGUG